rnacentral:misc_RNA from 1 species
GAUGAAGAACGUAGCGAAAUGCGAUAAGUAAUGCGAAUUGCAGAAUUCAGUGAGUCAUCGAAUCUUUGAACGCACAUUGCGCCCUGUGGUAUUCCGCAGGGCAUGCCUGUUCGAGCGUCAUUUCAACCCUCAAGCUUUGCUUGGUGUUGGGCCCUGCCCGCUGCGGCCGGCCCUAAAGACAGUGGCGGUGCCGCCUGGCCCUGAGCGUAGUACAUCUCUCGCUCCAGUGCCCGGUGGUAGCCUGCCAGAACCCCAACUCUCGUGGUUGACCUCGGAUCAGGUAGGGAUACCCGCUGAACUUAAGCAUAUCAAUAAGCGGAGGA